UGAAGAUGAAUACCUGAAACGGCCU
rnacentral:piRNA from 1 species